CUACUCCGGAUCUUCACGGUUCUAAAACAACGGAGACCCUAUUGUGUCACGACUACAGUUCAACCAAUGAGAGGCUAGCUACUAUCACAAGCACUCACCUGUUGGGGUCUCGUACUUACAACCUCUGUGUUGUAAACAAAUAUGACAGCUUACAUGUCAAUGUAUGGCAUUUAUGAUACAUAUAUCCAUUCUCAGACUACUAAGGUUCGUUAUAAGACAUCAAUAGCGGUAAUCGUAUCUUGGUGGCUGUAAAUAACAAUGAGUUGGUGCGACAGUCGAUUUUGACAAAUUUAUGUCAACAAGGAUAUUACAAUACAUAAUCCAGAUAUACAAAGAAUACUUAUAUAUGAAACUGGUGUGAAUUUAAUCCCUAUUUCAGUACCCGUCGGCAUAAUAUUCUACCCAGAAGGCGGGAUUUGUCUCUAUAUUAUUCUACCAAGUAGGCGGGACCUGACCGUAUGUCAUUCUACCCAGACAAAGUUGGGGUCUCGAACUUACAACCUCUGUGUUGCAUCAUACUUUGUAAUGUCCGGAUGAAAAACAAGAGGCAGUCAUCUGUGCAGCAUCAAUGCAAAGAAAGACCAUAGAAGAGAAGCAAUGAGGAACAAGAGAAGAGCAACAAAACUGAAGUCCUGCUUGAGAACCCUGGAUGAGUACUCCAGGUGGACAAUCUGGAAGGACCAGACAAGGGAGUCAGAUAUCAGAGGUGAUUUGCAGACAGCGAUGACGAGGGUCCUGUGUUUCAAUGGAGGCCGACCGAGAAGUUGUAUGCCAAAUGGUACUGGGACACACAAAGCCUGGUCUGGCUAAUGUGAGAAGACCAAUCAAUGCCAAGCUGGAGUGGGAUCCUUCCAGGACAUUCAAGAAAUUCUUGUCAUAUGGUUAACACUUGAAAGGAAUGAUAAAUGGGAUUUAUUGUCUUUCAAUGUGGACCCAAACACCAAAUGGAAAGUUCACAAUUCUACUAACACAAUGCAGCAGAGAUAGUCCAACUGGCAUACCCUCAUCCUGGUUCCUGUUCAUCCAUGGCAAUAUAGAAAGAAAAGGAGGAUUGAGGGAAAGUAAGUUCUCUGAACUGGUGAACAUUAUCCGUAGGUACUGACAAGCGAACAGUUAUCACACUCUGUUAUGAGUAUUGAAGAAUAGGAUGAAAUUGCAAACUGCAUC